GAAAGACGUGUUGUCAUCUCCCUCACUAAGCCAUAAUUCUCUUGAUUUAUCUUUCCAUAAAAUCUCCUCGAGCGAAUAAAGAUAGAUCAUUUUCUCUUUCAAAUCAACUACUAAUGCAAUAUUGUACUUGAGCAUGAUUUAUAUCCUCCUUUGUAUCCCUUAUUGAUUUUGCAGGUACUAUCAUGAUACCAAUUUGACAUAAAAUGGAAAGGUCUUUGGAUAUUAUCAAUUCCAGCACUAAGAGAUACCAGAAUAGGACAAUGGUCUGAAGAGAUUCUCGACAAAUGUAAGAUUCGGACAGAACUGAGAAGAGACACAAGGCAAGAAUGCAGCUUGAAAUCAACAAAACGGUCACAAGAUAAGGAGAUAAAGUUUUGAUACGGCGUCUUUGUGUCUUGGAGCUCUGGAUAUUUGGUGUCUUGGUAUCUCGGAGUCUUCUUAAAAGGUCUUUGUAACUUGAGUCUUCUAGCAAAAAAAGGAGGAUUUGCAGGGUUAUGUUACCAAUUAAAGCAUAAUCACGACGAGAAAAGAAGGAAAGGAGACAGAGUGACCAGAAAAGUAACAUGGGGUGUUUAAUCAGAUUUUAUUAGAUUCUUAUAUAUCUAAAUAUUAUGCCUAAAAUAUAUUUAUAUUAGUAUUAUGUUUUAACAACUUUUCUUUUUUUUCUUUACAUGCCAAUUAAUUAGCCUACUGUAAAUAUUAUGCCUAAAAUAUAUUUAUAUUAGUAUUAUCUAGAUGACC